CCUACGGGAGGCAGCAGUGAGGAAUAUUGGUCAAUGGACGAGAGUCUGAACCAGCCAAGUAGCGUGAAGGAUGACUGCCCUAUGGGUUGUAAACUUCUUUUAUAUGGGAAUAAAAUGUUCCACGUGUGGGAUUUUGUAUGUACCAUAUGAAUAAGGAUCGGCUAACUCCGUGCCAGCAGCCGCGGUAAUACGGAGGAUCCGAGCGUUAUCCGGAUUUAUUGGGUUUAAAGGGAGCGUAGGUGGAUGGUUAAGUUAGUUGUGAAAGUUUGCGGCUCAACCGUAAAAUUGCAGUUGAAACUGGCAGUCGUGAGUACAGUAGAGGUAGGCGGAAUGCGUGGUGUAGCGGUGAAAUGCUUAGAUAUCACGAAGAACUCCGAUUGCGAAGGCAGCUCACUGAACUGCAACUGACACUGAGGCUCGAAAGUGUGGGUAUCAAACAGGAUUAGAUACCCGAGUAGUC
rnacentral:rRNA from 1 species